AUCGUUUUAUAACAGAAGUAUUUCCAAGACUAAAGCUUUCACUGGUCAGCGCCUCUAGGAAGAACAGUUUAGAGCAAUCCAGUGUAAAUAAAGGUAGUUUAGUUUUUCUCCUGUAGUAACACUGGAUCAAUAAGAGAUGGACCUUACUGGAUCUCAAGGGAGAACAGUUUAGAACUGAUAGUUUUCGUUUGUACAUAAUGUAUCUGCAUCCAACCAGAUCUCUUUGCGAGAGAAAUCCAAUCACAGUCCAACUCUCUCCCUCGCGAAAGUCGACACAAGAUAUUUUCGAAAAUGUUUCAAAGUGACACCAUUUUGCAAAAAACUUUCUUCUCGUACUUCGCAUAUAGCUUGUCGCCUCGUUCUAGUGCAUUUCCAUGGAAACGAUGGCGUUGGACUACAACUAUCUACAGAAAC